UACGUAGGGUGCGAGCGUUGUCCGGAAUUAUUGGGCGUAAAGAGCUCGUAGGCGGUGUGUCACGUCGAUCGUGAAAACUCACAGCUCAACUGUGGGCGUGCGGGCGAUACGGGCAGACUAGAGUACUGCAGGGGAGACUGGAAUUCCUGGUGUAGCGGUGGAAUGCGCAGAUAUCAGGAGGAACACCGGUGGCGAAGGCGGGUCUCUGGGCAGUAACUGACGCUGAGGAGCGAAAGCGUGGGGAGCGAACAGG
rnacentral:rRNA from 1 species